GGACAUUUAAAUCGCAUGCCCUUCAAUUUCGACCUAAUUAUUUGGAAUCCUUGAAAUGAAGGAUGACACAGUGUUCCCUCAAGUCCUUGUGCAUCUACCUAAACGAAUACCUUGAGCAGCGUGUGAAGGAAUACAUGAUCUCUCUUUGCCACAGCUGCUUCCUCCUGGCCUUGCCCCGAGCUUUCAGGAGGCUUCCCAGCUCCCUCUCCCUUCCCCUGCAGUCAAGAAGGAAAAGCAGGCAAAAGGAGGGAAAUAAAACUUCAGGCACACCACGCAAGGCCAUCUGGGUAAUCUUGUUCAAAAGGCUUGAGGUAAUAGCUGCAAUUUACACAGGCAAAAAAAAAAAAAAAAAAAAAGAACAGACCUCAUUUCCAUACCUACCAGCCUCAAGGAGAUGAAAUUGAAUAAACUAAGAAUUAGAAAAGAAUUACAGUAAAACCAAUACGGAAUAUUCAACAUUAGUUCAUUUUGUCCUUGCAACACCCCCUCCUUGCACACACAUCUUCUGGUUUCCUAAGAAAGAGAACAGUUGGGCUGACAUGAAGGUGCCGUGGACAACUAACAGAAGAACACAAGCGUACACACUCCGAUACACCAACACAGCUCCACUCAAAUACACGUGCAGGCACACACAGCCGAGGGGAGAAACAAUAUUUGCGAUGAAAGCAAAUCAAACUGAAAUCCAACAUGUUAAAGUCAAGUUGAUUAGUGUGGAAAUGUAAAAGCAUCUUCAACUGGCAUAUCCCACAGUCAUAAAGAUAUGUUAAUUUGCAACUUAAUGGCUGAAAGCAUAAUUUUGCUUAUAUAAACCUUGAAACGUGCUGCAUUUCUGAAAUGCGCCUUAAUUUAAUGAAGUAAACACCACCACAAAACAAUAAAUGCCCCAAUUAAAGAACAGGCAUGAAGAGAAGUGUCUAUUUCCCAUUUUGCCCCUGCGGACAUAUGUACCCAAGCGUGUCUGUGCAUUUACUC